GACCGGACCAUAUUCAAUUCUUUCAUAGUGAUAAAUUAUCAGUUAACAUUGGCAAAAUUGUGAACAUCAGUUGUCAGUACUCACUACUCAGUGCAGGUGCAAACUCAGUGUCAACUGCCAGUGGCAGGUGACUGAGUGGCAGAGCCGUCAGCCGUCAACAGAUAGGUGAAAUUUUCAUAAUCACAAAAUUUUAUUUUCAUGCUAUUUCGUAUUUGUGUAUUUGCUAAUUGUUUUUAAAAAAACUAAAGUAACCUUGAAAUCAUCAAUAUAUUCUGUUUUUCUAUAAAUUAUAUAUCAAGAGAACUUAAUAACUACCUGGUACCGCUAACAUUUAUAACAAGUCUAUAGUUAUAAAAACAUGUCGUUGAGCUAUUUAACUAACUCAACUAAAUGUAUAAGUUCGCUAAAGGAAUUUGUAAAGUGGCAUUUGUUGUUUGUAGUACAAGAAACACGAAUUGUAAAACGAAGCCGAAACAUAGAGGAUGGAAAGUGCAGGAUGGGCAUUUCGUGCACCCUGGGCAUAUACUUGCUACGCAACUGAAUACAAGAUUUCAUCCAGGAUUAAAUGUUGGAUAAGGAAGAAAUGGUACAUUAAUUGCUAUGGAAGCCGGGAAAGUAGUUGUGACAAGUGAGAAGUUUGACCCUAAUUGGGAACACCCAUGGGUGCAGAGGAAUUAUGCAGGAAGGACGAAUCAGACAAUUUAUAUGAAAUAUUUCAAAGUAAUACCAGAAGAUCAACACAACAGGUUUAAAUUAAUUGAUGAAGUAUAAAAGUAUAAUAGUGAAAUUUUAAUGAUAAUUAUUGUAUUUACUAUUUAGUUUUGAAAUAAAGAUUGUUGACAGACA